rnacentral:rRNA from 1 species
GAUGAACGCUGGCGGGGUGCCUAAUACAUGCAAGUCGAGCGAAUGGAUUAAGAGCUUGCUCUUAUGAAGUUAGCGGCGGACGGGUGAGUAACACGUGGGUAACCUGCCCAUAAGACUGGGAUAACUCCGGGAAACCGGGGCUAAUACCGGAUAACAUUUUGAACCGCAUGGUUCGAAAUUGAAAGGCGGCUUCGGCUGUCACUUAUGGAUGGACCCGCGUCGCAUUAGCUAGUUGGUGAGGUAACGGCUCACCAAGGCAACGAUGCGUAGCCGACCUGAGAGGGUGAUCGGCCACACUGGGACUGAGACACGGCCCAGACUCCUACGGGAGGCAGCAGUAGGGGAUCUUCCGCAAUGGACGAAAGUCUGACGGAGCAACGCCGCGUGAGUGAUGAAGGCUUUCGGGUCGUAAAACUCUGUUGUUAGGGAAGAACAAGUGCUAGUUGAAUAAGCUGGCACCUUGACGGUACCUAACCAGAAAGCCACGGCUAACUACGUGCCAGCCGCCGCCGUAA